UACGUAGGGUGCAAGCGUUUAAUCGGAAUUACUGGGCGUAAAGCGUGCGCAGGCGGUUAUAUAAGACAGUUGUGAAAAUCCCCCGGGCUCAACCUGGGAACUGCAUCUGUGACUGUAUAGCUAGAGUACGGUAGAGGGGGAUGGAAUUCCGCGUGUAGCAGUGAAAUGCGUAGAUAUGCGGAGGAACACCGAUGGCGAAGGCAAUCCCCUGGACCUGUACUGACGCUCAUGCACGAAAGCGUGGGGAGCAAACGAGG
rnacentral:rRNA from 1 species